rnacentral:sRNA from 1 species
GCGGCGACCGCGUGAGCCGCCGGAGCAGGAGCUGCAGCGACGUCGGGAGCAGAAGCGGCGGCGGCACGACGCGCAGCAGCUGCAGCAACUCAAGCACCUGGAGUCCUUUUAUGAAAAACCUCCUCCUGGGCUUAUCAAGGUUAGUGUGAAGUUUGUACUCUUGGUUAUUCCACUAGACAUACUUGUAGACUCAGUAACUUGUUACGAAAAAUGGUUGCAUGAUGUUAAAUCUCCUUUUACCAAAAGCCUGUUUCUUUUCCUGCAGAUGACUAGUAUUGUUCAAUUUUGAUGUUUUCUUUUACCAAAAGCCUGUUUCUUUUCCUGCAGAUGACUGAGGGGUCAAAAUUUUUAGUUUUGUCACAAGCCUCUGCCUUUGCGGAAAUUUCAUCAGCCAUGUUUCCCUUUCCCGAAGAACCAGUGCAGGCCCACGUGGAUUCCUUGGCCAUGCCCCUCUUCUCUCUUGCUGGGGAUGGCAUCUCUAAGCUCUUUUCCUUUGUCGGCCUCACCCGGCUCAGCCCCUCGGUCCAUCCUGUGCUGGUUUCUUGAGCUCAGCAGCUCAGAGAGCAGUAAACUCUGAGGAGAUCUGACAGCUAU